rnacentral:lncRNA from 1 species
AAAGAAACCCAACACAUUUUUUAAAAUCAACUUUCCAUGGUUAUAAUAUUCAAAACUAUAAACACCAAGAUAUUAUAAGCUAAGCUUUACUGUCCAUUAGUCAGAACAGGGCUAUACUUAGCUGUGACUGAUACAUAAAUUCCACACUAAAAAGGGGUGGCAUAUAAUACCUGUGAAGACAAUUUACAUUACACAUCUUCUAUAAGGGCCACUCAUUCACCAGCUAAUUUGCCGUUGGUCUCUUUGUUUCCUUAUAUCUGAGAAAGAGAGAGAGAAAGGAAAAUAAGAAAAGAAAAGAAAACCCAGAACUUUCUCUAUUACUAAUUUGAAAUAUUAUAUGUGUGAGUCCUUGGGAUAUUCUGAAAUCUGAAUUAUGUCUACACUUUUUUUCUCCCUAUAUUUUCUGCCAUUGUUUCUCCUCUCCCUUCCCACCUCUGUAAGCAGGUCUCUUGCUUGCCUUUGUUGUACUGAGAAAAUGCAAAGAGAUCAAACAAAAGUCAUCUAUGUAUUUCUGGCUUUGUUUUCUAGAAUCCUAAAUUCUCAGGGAAAAGUGUUUCAGAACACAGCCCAACUAUCUUGAAGGAGCUUCGGAAGGAAAAGCAUUUACCUGAAACUGGAAAGAGAAUACCCAUGGGCAUACACUGUUUCCUGAGGAAGAAGCAAGGAGCUGGGAGCUAAGGCUGAAGGAAUUUCCACAGAAUAAACUCAGGGUGGGCAAAGGAGUGCCAUGAGGUCAAGGUUCUAGCUUCCAGGUGUCAUGGGAGAUGAAUGAUCACAUAAAUACUACCUGGACCUCAUUCAUGUGUACCAGCAAUUACAUUAGUUCUCUUUUUCGUUGACCAGUCAGCACCCCAAGUAGCCACAGUGACUGGUCAGGAUGUGUGUGGGAGCUGCCAAGAAGGACCUCUCCCUCUUUUGUUCUCUGUGCUUGAGCAUGGAAAAUGUAGUUUGCCACCCCGGCAAGAGUCUUCUAGAGAAUCCAGCCAACACAGAGAAAAUGGACACAAGAGAUGGAAGGGAAUUGGGUUGAAGAUAUUUGAGCCUGGAUCAAGCUCUUCUUGAAGUGAGACUUAUCACCUGACUCUCAAGUUAUGUGAGUAAAUAAGUUCUCUUUUCACUAAAGUCAAUUGAGAUCGCUUUUUCUGUCCUUUGCAUUGGAAAGAGUCCUAACUGAUACAUUUGUCCCUAAUAUUUGUUCAAGGGCUUAGUGCUGGAGCAGAGCAAACUCAGAACUUACCAGAAGACUGAUGUUGAUACAUAUGCAUAGGAUAUAAUUUAUAAUGCUACUGCUACUGGACAGAGGGAGGGAGCAUUUCAUAUUCUCACAUAAAGAAUAUGUCAAAAUCAAAUGGAAAUACCCAUUUUUGGUUCAACCUCCAGGGACGAUGAGACCCUCCUUGCCACAGAGACAUUAAACCCUUCUAUCACCACAGCAGAGAGUUUAGUGCUAAAUGCUGGAGAAUGAAACAUAGCAGCCUUUUUGUUCCCUGUUCAUCUCUCAUCUCUUUAUUUCUGGAUGCACCCAGCUCAGCUUCCAUUCCUAGUCAGCCAAUACUGGUUCCCCCAAUUGCCUGUGAUGCUUCAUCUACCUAGUACCUAGUACUAGUAGUAGUACCUAGGCACUAGCUAGCUCUUUCCUCAGACUGGACUGAACUUCCUGUACUGUCUAUGCUUCAAGACCCAGUUCAGGGCCCCCAGGUUCUGUGAAAUUUUGGUUGACACCAACACUGCCCUGGUCUUUAUACCUCUCAUCCACAUCUCACCCUGUACAUCCUUCUAUUGUGACCCAUAUGCAAUUUUUGGUUUAUUUCUCUAUAUCCUCUGCUAAACUGAGCUCCACAAGCUCAGAAAUUCUUUCUAAUUUAUCUUGGAAUUUUUUGGACCUGGCCAUUAGGUCAUCUUCAAUUAUGUGUGGAGAGUGGAAAUAAUUGAAUACAUGAAAUAAAAGAAUGUGGAAGCAGAAAGAGUCACACAUUUUUAUAGCUGGGAUCUUAGAGUCCACCUAAUCCUUGUGAAUAAAAAUAUUUACCACAAUAGCAAAAAUAGUAAAGGUAAAAUUCUAAGAGGGUGGAAGGUUAAAUUUUAUCAGAACGUGUCAUAUGAUAACAAUCUUUAUUCUUGCACAAAUUAUAGCAAUAUAUUACAAAGUUUAAGAAUUCUCAUUUUUUAAAUUUGGCUACCUUCCUUCUCUUUUUAAAAUUUAAGACCUUCCUUUCCCUUAACUAUUUCAUUCCCUAUGUAUGUCUGUGCAAUAUUUUUGAUUACAGAAUAUUUUAUUAUAACCAAGAGCCAAAACAUUAGUUUAAAUAGCAAAGGAAAUCUUAGAAGAGCCAAGCUAAUUAUAACUGGAAAAAAGACCCCACUUUACACACACACACACACACACACACACACGCACAUGUGCGCACGUGCACACACACACACAGACAUUUAUAUCUAUACUCUUUAAUAAUUCCGUGAUUUCACAUCUUUGUGUAGGAAGGGAGUUGCUGUCACUUGAAAAGGUUACUGUAAUGCAUCCUGUUUCUUACAGACCUAUAGGAAUCUGGGCAUAGUUGGAAGCAGGAGGAUUAACAAAUUCAGAGUUAUGGGAAUCAACAUAACUCUGAAUAAAAAUGUAACCAGUUAUCUCCAUUUAGGGUAGACUCUGUUCAGAUUAUGUUGUAUUUAGGGAAAAUUUUCUCUUCCUUAAUGUGAAUUGUCUUUGAUAAUUAUUAUUUGCCUUUGGGAGAUGUGUAUGUGUAGAAUCCAGUAGAUGGUCAAGAAGAAUGAGGUGGCAAAUCUUCACCACUACCAAUAGGCACAAAUUGAAAUGUGAACCCUAUGGGGACUGUGCUGUUAGAGACCCUCGGUAGUAUUAUUUCAUACUUCCUAACCCAGGCUUUGGGAAAGGUGUUGCUACAAAUAAUAAUAUGGGUUGCACUGUUUGAGAAAGGGGGCUGGACCCUCCAUGAGAUUAAACUACUGUGAGUAGGGCAUAAGGAAGUAAAGAUAUGUACUGUAGAGUUAUGAAGAAAGGUCUUUUCCAAGAGAAGAGUAAAUAAGUGGGCCUUGAGACAGGUUUUUUUUUUUUUAACAGUUGAUUUAUAAUGUUCUGUCAAUUUCUGCUGUACAGCGAAGUGACCCAGUUGUACAUAUAUAUACAUUCUUUUUCUCACAUUAUCCUCUGUCAUGUUCCAUCACAAGUGAUUGGAUAUAAUUCUCUGUGCUUUACAGCAAGAUCUCAUUGCUUAUCUACUCCAAAUGCAAUAAUCUGCAUCCACUAACCCCAAACUCCAAGUCCAUCCCACUCCCUGCCCCUCCCCCUUGGCAACUAUAAGUCUGUUCUCCAUGUCCAUGAGUUUCUUUCUUUUCUGUAGAUAGGUUCAUUUGUGCCCCAGAUAUUAGAUUCCAGAUAUGUGAUAUCAUUUGAUAUUCGUCUUUCUCUUUCUGACUUACUUCAAUUAGUAUAAGUGUCUCUAGUUCCAUGCAUGUUGCUGCAAAUGGCAUUAAUUUGUUCUUUUUUUAUGUCUGGGUAGUAUUCCAUUCUACCCAGACAUAAUCCAUUCAUCUGUUAUUGGACAUUUAAGUUGUUUCCAUGUCUUGGCUAUUGUGAAUAGUGCUGCAGUGAACAUAGGGGUGCAUGUAUCUUUUUCAAAGAAAGUUUUGUCCAGAUAUAUGCUCAGAAGUGGGAUUGCUGGAUCUUAUGGUAGUUCUAUAUUUAGUUUUCUGAGGUACCUUCACACUGUUUUCCAUAGUGGUUGUACCAAUUCAGGUUUGUAAUCUGUCGUCUUUGUUGUAAUUUCCUUCCUUUAUUUCUAACAUUCAGUUGUUAUUAACACCUGCACAGACUAGCCUGGGGGAAGCUUGGGACAAUCAAGGAAAAGAAGAACAGCAUAGGGAAGUAUAACUGUGUACAUCUGACCUCCCUGAGGCCAGUGCUGUGGUCCCAACUUCUGGCAAGUAAUAGGGAAGUGAAUGGUGGCUUGUGAGGGAUCGUGAAGGAGAACAAGGCCCCCAAAGAGCUAAGGAUGAGCAGUAAUGCAGGAGAGGGGGGCAAAACUUUCUUUGCUGAAGGUAUCAGAGCUUCCUGUCCAUUUUAAUUUUAACAGUGUCCCUGCACCUCCAACUCCCCUCCUCUCCCACCUCCCUUCAAAAUCUGGCUAUAGCCUCUCUCUUCCUUCCACUUUCAUCAUUUUUACUUGGGUUUUGGCUAUAGCUGCCUCUGUUGUCUCCUGUCACCAGUUGCUUCCUUGUCCUGGUCUGGUUCUACUCCACCCUACUGCUGGGGUUGUGUUUCUAAAGAGUGCUGGCCCAUGACCUUCCCCAGCACUUGGCCAACAUUUCCUGUAAAAGCCAUCUUUCUGCUUGUUUACUGUCCUUGAGACUUCUAUUGAAAGUUGCUCCUCACAUUUGGAGACUAGGUAUUCAAAGCUAAUAGACAUUUGUUCAUUAAGAGGUGCCAUUAAAGUCAUUUGUCAUGCUAAGAGGAUUCCAUUUAAAGAUUUACCCACUUAAAGAUUACUCAAGUUUUCAGUACUGAGACAGAUGGCAACACAGUAGAAGCAGUGAUGUCCUGGAAAAUCUGUCAGUUUUGUUUGGGAAAGUAAAUGUUCAUAUAGUCAAAAGGCUUGUGAGAUAUGCUUUUUUAGUAAUUCCAUAAUCUCAUCAAAUAUUUCUGGUCCUAAAUGAAUCUGGGUGGGAAAAGACAGUAAAAUAGGGUAUGAUGGAGCACAUGGUGGGAUCUCUGAGCAGAGAUUUUGGGUAAAAAUGGACUAAUUCUUGGGCAACAACCUUCACUUCUAUACCUUGUCUUGAUCACAUUAUACUGGGAGCUUUUUUUACACACAGAGCUUGCUUAAUUUCCUGAAAGUUAGUUAUUUAUAGCAUUUUCAAAAGUUUUCUGUGGAGUUAAGUUCAUGCCCACAUUUCUGAUAUGCAUAAUGUUUUAUAAACACAUAGAAGAGAAAGGAAGAACCAGAAAAUAUGCCCCUCUAGCCAUCCCAAUAAGUCAUGCUAUUGAAAAGGGACCCAAGAGUUCUGUCAUGGCUCAGUGGCUAACAAACCCAACUAGUAACCAUGAGGUUGCAGGUUCAGUUCCUGGCCUCAAUCAGUGGGUUAAAGAUCCAGCGUUGCUGUGAGCUGUGGUAUAGGUCACAGACCAGCUUGGAUCCUGCGUUGCUGUGGUGUAGGCCAGAAGCUACAGCUCCGGAUUAGACCCCAGGUUGGGAACCUCCAUAUGCUGCAGUUGCAGUCCUAAAAAAGACCAAAAAAAGGGGGGGGGGACCCAGACAGAGCUUUGAAAUCCAGUCUGGGGCUCCCAUUAUCCCUCUUUUCAUGUCUUUAGUCUAUCUUGAUUAAAUGGAUAGUGUAAAGCUGACAUGUGGAGUCACAUAUAGAAUCUUGUCCUCAUUGGUAGAGAAGUACCUCACCGAUGUCUUCUUAAAUGACAUUGAUAAAAGAUUUCUCCUAUAUCAAUGAUGAUGUUAUAAUACAUUCAACUUUGGUAUUUAGUUUAUAUGCCUUAAAUUCAAAAGCUCUUCACCCACUGCUGCCCACAUAUGCUGACAACUGUUCUGAUCCCAGCAGGAGUAACAGAUUUUAUUUCUUAAGCAUUGCAGAACUACAACCAAAGUGUUAUUAUUAGAUAAAAGAUCUCAUACUGGCAUUGCAAGAGAGAAAAAAGAAAGAAUCAAGAUGAAAAUAACCCUGGUUAUUUAAAAAUGCCCCACAUUUUCAAAAUUGUAAUUCAGUUUAGUUUUUGAAGGUAACAUAUUCAAAUGGCUCAAAAUUCAAAAGUUACAAAAUUGUGUACAGAAAAUCGUUUCUGUCAUAUCCCUGUUCCCCUGCCAUACAGUCCUUUCCAGGCUAAACUAAUGCUAUAAAAUGUUUGUAUUUUCUUUCAGAGAUAGUUUACAUGUAUACAAGCAAAUGUGAGCUCACACAUGUGUUUAAGUAUCUAUCUUGUCUGUUUUUCUCUAACAACUUACUUUGGAAAUAGUUUUGUAUCAGGACAUAAGGGGCUUUAAAAAUAUUAGUUUUUUGGUUGCAUACUAUUCCAUUGCAGAAAUGGACGUAAUUUGCUUCUUCAGUACCAAGUGAAUGAAUACUUAAGCUGUUUCCAAAGGUUUGCUAACGCAAAAGUAUCCCUGCACCUACAUCUUUUGGUUUGUGGAUCGGUAUUUCUUUAGUAUAAGCUUCUAGUAAUUGAGUUUCUUGCUUAAGAUUGUAUGUUAUACUUUUUUUUUAAGGAAUGUAGUUUAUUCAUUUUUGAAUUGUGAUUAAAAAUUCAAAAGAGUUCGCAUUGUGGCUAGGAAGUUAACAAAUCUGACUAGCAUCCAUGAGGACACAGUAGCAUCCUUGCUCAGUGGGUUAAGGAUCCGGCAUUGCCAUGAGCUAUGGUGUAGGUCACAGACUCGGCUCUGAUCCUGUGUUGCUGUGGCUGUGGUGUAGUCCAGCAGCUACAGCUCAGAUUUGACCCCUAGCCUGGGAACCUCCAUAUGC